GAUGAAGAACGUAGCGAAAUGCGAUAAGUAAUGUGAAUUGCAGAAUUCAGUGAAUCAUCGAAUCUUUGAACGCACCUUGCACUCCUUGGUAUUCCGAGGAGUACGCCUGUUCGAGUGUUAUGAAGCUCUCAAAACGCAAUUGGCUUAAAACCUGAUUGUUGUUUUGGAUUUGAACUUUGCCGUGUUAUAACGGCUGGUUUUAAAAGUAUUAGCUGGUACUAGAACGAAUUGGUUCUACUCAACGUGAUAAUUAUCUGAUCGUUGAGGACAUUCCUUUCACGAGGAAUGGCCAUAGUAAAUUCAAUGGACUGCUUCUAAUCUGGCUUUAAUUCUUUAUUGGAUUAACCACUUUUCAAAUCUGACCUCGAAUCAGGUGGGACUACCCGCUGAACUUAAGCAUAUCAAUAAGGGAGGA
rnacentral:misc_RNA from 1 species